rnacentral:rRNA from 1 species
CCGCAUACGCCCUGAGGGGGAAAGUGGGGGAUCGUAAGACCUCACGUUAUUCGAGCGGCCGACGUCUGAUUAGCUAGUUGGUGAGGUAAUGGCCCACCAAGGCGACGACCAGUAGCGGGUCUGAGAGGAUGAUCCGCCACACUGGGACUGAGACACGGCCCAGACUCCUACGGGAGGCAGCAGUGGGGAAUUUUGGACAAUGGGGGCAACCCUGAUCCAGCCAUUCCGCGUGAGUGAAGAAGGCCUUCGGGUUGUAAAGCUCUUUCAGCAGGAACGAAACGGUAGAGGCUAAUACCCUCUGCUAAUGACGGUACCUGCAGAAGAAGCACCGGCUAACUACGUGCCAGCAGCCGCGGUAAUACGUAGGGUGCGAGCGUUAAUCGGAAUUACUGGGCGUAAAGCGUGCGCAGGCGGAUUGUUAAGCAAGACGUGAAAUCCACGGGCUUAACCUGGGAAUGGCGUUUUGAACUGGCAGUCUAGAGUGUGUCAGAGGGGGGUGGAUUCCACGUGUAGCAGUGAAAUGCGUAGAGAUGUGGAGGAACACCAAUGGCGAAGGCAGCCCCCUGGGAUAACACUGACGCUCAUGUACGAAAGCGUGGGUAGCAAACAGGAUUAGAUACCCUGGUAGUCCACGCCCUAAACGAUGUCAACUGGUUGUUGGGGGAGUGAAAUCCCUUAGUAACGAAGCUAACGCGUGAAGUUGACCGCCUGGGGAGUACGGUCGCAAGAUUAAAACUCAAAGGAAUUGACGGGGACCCGCACAAGCGGUGGAUGAUGUGGAUUAAUUCGAUGCAACGCGAAAAACCUUACCUACCCUUGACAUGUCCAGAAUCCUGCAGAGAUGCGGGAGUGCCCGAAAGGGAAUUGGAACACAGGUGCUGCAUGGCUGUCGUCAGCUCGUGUCGUGAGAUGUUGGGUUAAGUCCCGCAACGAGCGCAACCCUUAUCAUUAGUUGCUACGCAAGGGCACUCUAAUGAGACUGCCGGUGACAAACCGGAGGAAGCUGGGGAUGACGUCAAGUCCUCAUGGCCCUUAUGGGUAGGGCUUCACACGUCAUACAAUGGUCGGUACAGAGGGUUGCCAAGCCGCGAGGUGGAGCCAAUCCCAGAAAGCCGAUCGUAGUCCGGAUUGUUCUCUGCAACUCGAGAGCAUGAAGUCGGAAUCGCUAGUAAUCGCGGAUCAGCAUGUCGCGGUGAAUACGUUCCCGGGUCUUGUACACACCGCCCGUCACACCAUGGGAGUGGAAUCUGCCAGAAGUAGGUAGCCUAACCGCAAGGAGGGCGCUUACCA